GACGAACGCUGGCGGCGUGCUUAACACAUGCAAGUCGAACAAUGAAGCCUAGCUUGCUAGGUGGAUUAGUGGCGAACGGGUGAGUAAUACGUGAGUGACCUACCUUUGACUCUGGGAUAAGCCUGGGAAACUGGGUCUAAUACCGGAUACGACCAAUCUCCGCAUGGGGUGUUGGUGGAAAGCGUUAUGGAGUGGUUUUAGAUGGGCUCACGGCCUAUCAGCUUGUUGGUGAGGUAAUGGCUUACCAAGGCGACGACGGGUAGCCGGCCUGAGAGGGUGACCGGCCACACUGGGACUGAGACACGGCCCAGACUCCUACGGGAGGCAGCAGUGGGGAAUAUUGCACAAUGGGCGCAAGCCUGAUGCAGCGACGCCGCGUGAGGGAUGACGGCCUUCGGGUUGUAAACCUCUGUUAGCAUCGAAGAAGCGAAAGUGACGGUAGGUGCAGAGAAGGCGCCGGCUAACUACGUG
rnacentral:rRNA from 1 species